rnacentral:rRNA from 1 species
GACGAGUUUUAUUCUUGCUUAAUUAUUUAUUAUGAAGAGGUGUUAUAUGCAAUUUAUUAAUUUUAUUUAUUCUAAAUGAUUUAAAUAGAAUAUUAUGCAGUAAUUAAUUUUAGUAAUUGAGGAAAUUCUGAGUUAGUCAUUUUCAUUAAGUAUUGAUAAAAUAUGUGCCAGCAGUCGCGGUUAUACAUAAAAUAUUAGUGAAUAUAAUUAGUUUAUUAGUUAUUAUAAAUAAUUUAAUUUAUUUUGGAUAUUUUUGGGUGAAAUUUAAUUUUUCUUUUUUGGUUAAUUAUAAUAUAUAAGAGGCUAUGAAAUCUAAUGUUUAAACUAGGAUUAGAUACCCUAUUAUUUUAGAUUUAAAUUUAUAUAAGACUUGAGUAGUAUUAGUUAUGGUCUUGAAACUUAAAGAAUUUGGCGGUAUUUUAGUCUAUUUAGAGGAAUCUGUCCCAUAAUCGAUAAUCCGCGAUGGACCUUACUUAUUUUUUAUGCUUGUAUACCGCCGUUUAGUUGAAAAUCUUAUUAGGGUAAAUUUUCUUAAUAUUUAAUUUUAUAAUAUCUCAGGUCAAGGUGCAGUUUAUAAUUAAGUGGAGAUGGAUUACAAUAUAAUUAUAGACGAAUUAUUAAUUGUAAAAUUUGUAUGAAGGUGGAUUUAAUAGUAAUGUUAAUUAUAUUUAUUAAUUUGAUAUUAGCUCUAAAAUGUGCACACAUCGCCCGUCACUCUCGCUAUUAAGGUGAGAUAAGUCGUAACAAAGUAGGUGUACCGGAAGGUGUAACUAGAUUGAU